AACGUAGGGGGCAAGCGUUAUCCGGAUUUACUGGGCGUAAAGGGUGUGCAGGCGGGGUUGCAAGUGGUGUGUGAAAUCUCCCGGCUUAACCGGGAGGGGUUAUGCCAGACUGCAAUUCUAGAGGACGAGAGAGGGGGGUGGAAUUCCGGGUGUAGUGGUGAAAUGCGUAGAGAUCCGGAGGAACCCCAGAGGCGAAGGCGGCCCCCUGGCUCGUACCUGACGCUCAGCCACGAAAGCAUGGGGAGCGAACGGG
rnacentral:rRNA from 1 species